rnacentral:rRNA from 1 species
UACGAAGGGGGCUAGCGUUGUUCGGAUUUACUGGGCGUAAAGCGCACGUAGGCGGAUCGAUCAGUCAGGGGUGAAAUCCCAGAGCUCAACUCUGGAACUGCCUUUGAUACUGUCGAUCUGGAGUAUGGAAGAGGUGAGUGGAAUUCCGAGUGUAGAGGUGAAAUUCGUAGAUAUUCGGAGGAACACCAGUGGCGAAGGCGGCUCACUGGUCCAUUACUGACGCUGAGGUGCGAGAGCGUGGGGAGCGAACCGG